UGAGGAAUAUUGGUCAAUGGGCGAGAGCCUGAACCAGCCAAGUCGCGUGAGGGAAGACGGAUCUAUGGUCUGUAAACCUCUUUUGUCAAGGAAGAAUAAGUGUCACGCGUGACAUGAUGCCAGUACUUGACGAAUAAGCAUCGGCUAACUCCGUGCCAGCAGCCGCGGUAACACGGGGGAUGCGAGCGUUAUCCGGAUUUAUUGGGUUUAAAGGGCGCGUAGGCGGGACGGCAAGUCAGCGGUAAAAGACUGCAGCUAAACUGUAGCACGCCGUUGAAACUGUUGACCUUGAGACGAGACGAGGGAGGCGGAACAAGUGAAGUAGCGGUGAAAUGCAUAGAUAUCACUUGGAACCCCGAUAGCGAAGGCAGCUUCCCAGGCUCGAUCUGACGCUGAUGCGCGAGAGCGUGGGUAGCGAACAGGAUUAGAUACCCUGGUAGUCCACGCCGUAAACGAUGCUCACUGGAUCUUGGCGAUACACGGCCAGGGUUCAAGCGAAAGUAUUAAGUGAGCCACCUGGGGAGUACGUCGGCAACGAUGAAACUCAAAGGAAUUGACGGGGGCCCGCACAAGCGGAGGAACAUGUGGUUUAAUUCGAUGAUACGCGAGGAACCUUACCCGGGUUUAAAUGCAGGUUGCAUGAGGUGGAAACAUCUCUUUCCCUCGGGACUACCUGCAAGGUGCUGCAUGGUUGUCGUCAGCUCGUGCCGUGAGGUGUCGGGUUAAGUCCCAUAACGAGCGCAACCCCUAUCGCCAGUUGCCAUCGGUUUCGGCCGGGCACUCUGUCGAGACUGCCACCGUAAGGUGCGAGGAAGGCGGGGAUGACGUCAAAUCAGCACGGCCCUUACACCCGGGGCGACACACGUGUUACAAUGGCCGGUACAGAGGGCAGCCACGGGGUGACCCGGAGCGAAUCUCUAAAGCCGGUCGUAGUUCGGACUGGAGUCUGCAACCCGACUCCACGAAGUUGGAUUCGCUAGUAAUCGCGCAUCAGCCAUGGCGCGGUGAAUACGUUCCC
rnacentral:rRNA from 1 species